rnacentral:rRNA from 1 species
UGGGGAAUUUUGGACAAUGGGCGAAAGCCUGAUCCAGCAAUGCCGCGUGUGUGAAGAAGGCCUUCGGGUUGUAAAGCACUUUUGUCCGGAAAGAAAUCCUUGGCUCUAAUACAGUCGGGGGAUGACGGUACCGGAAGAAUAAGCACCGGCUAACUACGUGCCAGCAGCCGCGGUAAUACGUAGGGUGCAAGCGUUAAUCGGAAUUACUGGGCGUAAAGCGUGCGCAGGCGGUUUGCUAAGACCGAUGUGAAAUCCCCGGGCUCAACCUGGGAACUGCAUUGGUGACUGGCAGGCUAGAGUAUGGCAGAGGGGGGUAGAAUUCCACGUGUAGCAGUGAAAUGCGUAGAGAUGUGGAGGAAUACCGAUGACGAAGGCAGCCCCCUGGGCCAAUACUGACGCUCAUGCACGAAAGCGUGGGGAGCAAAACAGGAUUAGAUACCCUGGUAGUCCACGCCCUAAACGAUGUCAACUAGUUGUUGGGGAUUCAUUUCCUUAGUAACGUAGCUAACGCGUGAAGUUGACCGCCUGGGGAGUACGGUCGCAAGAUUAAAACUCAAAUGAAUUGACGGGGUCAUAGCUG